rnacentral:rRNA from 1 species
GACGAACGCUGGCGGCGUGCUUAACACAUGCAAGUCGAACGAUGAAGCCGGAGCUUGCUCUGGUGAAUUAGUGGCGAACGGGUGAGUAACACGUGAGUAACCUGCCCUUGACUCUGGGAUAACUGCGGGAAACUGUAGCUAAUACCGGAUACGACCCUCGGAGGCAUCUCCUGGGGGUGGAAAGAAUUUCGGUCAAGGAUGGACUCGCGGCCUAUCAGCUAGUUGGUGAGGUAAUGGCUCACCAAGGCGACGAUCGGUAGCUGGUCUGAGAGGAUGACCAGCCUCACUGGGACUGAGACACGGCCCAGACUCCUACGGGAGGCAGCAGUGGGGAAUAUUGGACAAUGGGCGCAAGCCUGAUCCAGCCAUGCCGCGUGGGUGAUGAAGGCCCUAGGGUUGUAAAGCCCUUUCAGCGGGGAAGAUAAUGACGGUACCCGCAGAAGAAGUCCCGGCUAACUUCGUGCCAGCCGCCGCCGUAA